UCCCUGGAGGUCCAGUGGCUAAGACCCCCACACUCCCAAUGCAGGGGGCCCAGGUUCGAUCCCUGGUCAGGGAA
rnacentral:tRNA from 1 species